rnacentral:rRNA from 1 species
AGUGAACGCUGGCGGUAGGCCUAACACAUGCAAGUCGAACGGCAGCACAGUAAGAGCUUGCUCUUACGGGUGGCGAGUGGCGGACGGGUGAGGAAUACAUCGGAAUCUACUUUUUCGUGGGGGAUAACGUAGGGAAACUUACGCUAAUACCGCAUACGACCUACGGGUGAAAGCAGGGGAUCUUCGGACCUUGCGCGAUUGAAUGAGCCGAUGUCGGAUUAGCUAGUUGGCGGGGAAAGGGCCCACAAGGCGACGAUCCGUAGCUGGUCUGAGAGGAUGAUCAGCCACACUGGAACUGAGACACGGUCCAGACUCCUACGGGAGGCAGCAGUGGGGAAUAUUGGACAAUGGGCGCAAGCCUGAUCCAGCCAUACCGCGUGGGUGAAGAAGGCCUUCGGGUUGUAAAGCCCUUUUGUUGGGAAAGAAAAGCAGCAGGUUAAUACCCCGCUGUUCUGACGGUACCCAAAGAAUAAGCACCGGCUAACUUCGUG